GACGAACGCUGGCGGCGUGCUUAACACAUGCAAGUCGAACGAUGAACUUGGAGCUUGCUCUGGGGGAUUAGUGGCGAACGGGUGAGUAACACGUGAGUAACCUGCCCUGGACUCUGGGAUAACUUCGAGAAAUCGGAGCUAAUACCGGAUAGGACCUUGCACCGCAUGGUGUGGGGUGGAAAGUUUUUCGGUUUGGGAUGGACUCGCGGCCUAUCAGCUUGUUGGUGAGGUAAUGGCUCACCAAGGCGUCGACGGGUAGCCGGCCUGGGAGGGUGACCGGGCACACUGGGACUGAGACACGGCCCAGACUCCUACGGGAGGCAGCAGUGGGGAAUAUUGCACAAUGGGCGCAAGCCUGAUGCAGCAACGCCGCGUGCGGGAUGACGGCCUUCGGGUUGUAAACCGCUUUUAGUAGGGAAGAAGCCUUCGGGUGACGGUACCUGCAGAAAAAGGACCGGCUAACUACGUGCCAGCCGCCGCAGUAACAC
rnacentral:rRNA from 1 species